AUUGAACGCUGGCGGCAGGCCUAACACAUGCAAGUCGAGCGGCAGCGGGAAAGUAGCUUGCUACUUUUGCCGGCGAGCGGCGGACGGGUGAGUAAUGCCUGGGAAAUUGCCCAGUCGAGGGGGAUAACAGUUGGAAACGACUGCUAAUACCGCAUACGCCCUACGGGGGAAAGCAGGGGACCUUCGGGCCUUGCGCGAUUGGAUAUGCCCAGGUGGGAUUAGCUAGUUGGUGAGGUAAGGGCUCACCAAGGCGACGAUCCCUAGCUGGUCUGGGAGGAUGAUCAGCCACACUGGAACUGAGACACGGUCCAGGCGCCUACGGGAGGCAGCAGUGGAGAAUAUUGCACAAUGGGGGAAACCCUGAUGCAGCCAUGCCGCGUGUGUGAAGAAGGCCUUUGGGUUGUAAAGCACUUGCAGCGAGGAGGAAAGGUUGAUGCCUAAUACGUAUCAACUGUGACGUUACUCGCAGAAGAAGCACCGGCUAACUCCGUGCCAGCCGCCGCGGUAAUAC
rnacentral:rRNA from 1 species